AGCUUUCUGAAUCUGUGCUGAGAUUUUGCCAAACACCAGCCUAUCAGGAUCGAUGAGACUUUCAAGCUAAGUGAAGCG
rnacentral:pre_miRNA from 1 species